CUGGCACCCCAGCACAGGGGGGAUGUCAGCGGUGUUCCUGAGCAGCACUGCGUGGGGGAGAGAUGACUCCCGCUCGUGAACUCCCUGUGACCCGGCAGGACGGCGUGGGCCAGAAGUGCCAGUUUGGGAGGCAGAGCUCUGGACUUCCCAAAGUGUGAUGAGUCUUCCAACUUCCGUGUCCCGGGUGGAGACCUGGCCAUGUUGCCUCUGGAGAUGCUGUUGUUGGUUCCUAAGGGCUGGAAGAUCGUGCCCUGGCCCUGCUGCUCCCGGGGUGCGUGCCGUCUUCACCCCAAAACGUUGCUUCUAACGUGCUGGUGCAGAAGCAGGAAGGGAAGCGUCAUUAUGUUGUGCAGGAACUUUCAACUGGACUGUGCGCCCGCCAUAUUUGGCAAGGGGCAUCUGUGUGUGCGCGUGUGUGCGUGUGCGCGCGCGCGUGCACACUCAGAAUACUCGGCCAGCCCCCUCCCACCAGUCGCCUGUUUGAUAACGAGCGGAAAAAUGCUGAAUGCAUAGAAAAUCAACAACUUUUCUGGAACCUGUUAAAGAAUUGAACUCAUGGGACAAAUGGCCACUUCAAAAUCUGGGGACAAGUGAAUACUGAGAAAGACAACUGACAUCAGCUUAGCUGGGGCAGAAACCGUAGAAACACUUACGUGGUGAACCCAGAAGAAGCCAGAGGGCCGGGGAGCAGCCCACAUAGGACACAGAGCCAGGCCAGGGAAAAAGAGGGCAGCGCCUCGUGCUGGAGAGACUUUGGGGGAAAGCGCAUCGCUUCAGCUGACAGUGCAUAUCUUUGAACACAAGAUGUAUGAGGGGUAGUAGCUAUUUCUCACCACUCCCUGGAUUUUGAGGGGAACUUGCUUUUACCAUAUCGACGGCGUGGCCGGGGAUGCUUUUUGUGAGUCCUGCUUACUCAUUUUGGUGUCGGAGUGCAGUCAUCUUGGGCUUCCACUGCUCCUUCAUCAAUGCGGAGUAUUCCAAGAAAUGGAAAAUCUGGGAUCUAAACCCUGACGGAACCCCACGUGGGUUCUGAAAAUCUCUGCUUAUACGUCUCGGUGUCCAAGAAAACUUUGACAGAAGAAACAAUGUACUGCGUGUUCUACUCUCACCAUCGAGGAGAGAGAGACGUAAUGCCAGAACGGAUCUCAGUAACGAUGGGAUGUCCAGAAUCCAGUUCCAAGUGGCACCGAACUCCGUGCCUCAGUGUCCGUGUGGCUUUAAAAACAAAUCGCGAGUUUUCGACCACUGCCUCGACCACAGCGAGUCAGAGUCCCCACGACCUGGGUGUUUGAAGAGCUGCACACGUGGUUCUUCCUCCCUCGGUGACCUUGGUAGCUGGAAUCUGAAUCAGUGUGUUAACAACGGCGUGCCGUCCCAGACUCGAGAGCAUUCGGGCGAUCCAGACCGCAAACCCUUUCUCUCUCUCAGCCUAGCAGCGAAUACAGAGCUCUCCCUGGAC